GUUGUUCUCCCUGAGACUUAGAGUCUCCUGAAGGAACGUUGAAGACGACGACGUUGAUAGGCCGGGUGUGUAAGCGCAGCGAUGCGUUGAGCUAACCGGUACUAAUGAACCGUGAGGCUUAACCUU
rnacentral:rRNA from 1 species